GACGAACGCUGGCGGCGUGCCUAAUACAUGCAAGUCGAGCGGAGCGGAGGAAGCUUGCUUCCAAAGCUCAGCGGCGGACGGGUGAGUAACACGUGGGUAACCUGCCUGGCAGACUGGGAUAACGCUUGGAAACGAGUGCUAAUACCGGAUAGUCUUCUGAACCGCAUGGUUCGGAAGGGAAAGAGGCUUUCGCCUCACUGUCAGAUGGACCCGCGGCGCAUUAGCUAGUUGGUGAGGUAACGGCUCACCAAGGCGACGAUGCGUAGCCGACCUGAGAGGGUGACCGGCCACACUGGGACUGAGACACGGCCCAGACUCCUACGGGGGGCAGCAGUAGGGAAUCUUCCACAAUGGGCGAAAGCCUGAUGGAGCAACGCCGCGUGAGUGAUGAAGGCCUUUGGGUUGUAAAACUCUGUCUUCUGUGACGAACAAGCCUGUGAGUGGAAUGCUCAGGCCCUGACGGUAACAGAGGAGGAAGCCACGGCUAACUACGUGCCAGCAGCCGCGGUAA
rnacentral:rRNA from 1 species